rnacentral:rRNA from 1 species
UACAGAGGUCCCAAGCGUUGUUCGGAUUCAUUGGGCGUAAAGGGUGCGUAGGUGGCGUCGUAAGUCGGGUGUGAAAUCUCGGGGCUUAACUCCGAAACUGCAUUCGAUACUGCGGUGCUUGAGGACUGGAGAGGAGACUGGAAUUUGACGGUGUAGCAGUGAAAUGCGUAGAGAUCGUAAGGAAGACCAGUGGCGAAGGCGGGUCUCUGGAAAGUUCCUGACACUGAGGCACGAAGGCCAGGGGAGCAAACGGG